AUGAUUGACAAAGCUCUAGGUCUUCCUCCAGGUUAUAGGCAUGUGAUUCUCACAACCAAGAAUGAACCACCACCACACCGGGAGUUCUAUACGAUUGUUCGAAGCAUUAUAGUUGUGGAGUUCUUCUCCCUCUCUCUUGGAUUUGUUCAUCGGAUUUUGCUAACUCCGACGUAUGAUCAUGUACUUCAAUUGCAGGAAGCACAUAGGAAGUUAGUAAGAAGAAGCAGCACGUCUCCGGGUAAUAGGGUAGUUUGCCAAAUCGACCCUGCGAGGGAUAUUUCCAUUGUUUGCAGCACUGUAGUUCUAUAG
rnacentral:rRNA from 1 species